ACACAAAAAUGCACAUAUUGUGAGCUCGAUGAGUAGGGCGGGACACGUGGUAUCCUGUCUGAAUAUGGGGGGACCAUCCUCCAAGGCUAAAUACUCCUGACUGACCGAUAGUGAACCAGUACCGUGAGGGAAAGGCGAAAAGAACCCCGGCGAGGGGAGUGAAAAAGAACCUGAAACCGUGUACGUACAAGCAGUGGGAGCACGCUUAGGCGUGUGACUGCGUACCUUUUGUAUAAUGGGUCAGCGACUUAUAUUCUGUAGCAAGGUUAACCGAAUAGGGGAGCCGAAGGGAAACCGAGUCUUAACUGGGCGUUAAGUUGCAGGGUAUAGACCCGAAACCCGGUGAUCUAGCCAUGGGCAGGUUGAAGGUUGGGUAACACUAACUGGAGGACCGAACCGACUAAUGUUGAAAAAUUAGCGGAUGACUUGUGGCUGGGGGUGAAAGGCCAAUCAAACCGGGAGAUAGCUGGUUCUCCCCGAAAGCUAUUUAGGUAGCGCCUCGUGAAUUCAUCUCCGGGGGUAGAGCACUGUUUCGGCAAGGGGGUCAUCCCGACUUACCAACCCGAUGCAAACUGCGAAUACCGGAGAAUGUUAUCACGGGAGACACACGGCGGGUGCUAACGUCCGUCGUGAAGAGGGAAACAACCCAGACCGCCAGCUAAGGUCCCAAAGUCAUGGUUAAGUGGGAAACGAUGUGGGAAGGCCCAGACAGCCAGGAUGUUGGCUUAGAAGCAGCCAUCAUUUAAAGAAAGCGUAAUAGCUCACUGGUCGAGUCGGCCUGCGCGGAAGAUGUAACGGGGCUAAACCAUG
rnacentral:rRNA from 1 species